rnacentral:rRNA from 1 species
ACACCAUGGGAACACCAUGGGAGUGGGUUGCAAAAGAAGUAGGUAGCUUAACCUUCGGGAGGGCGCUUACCACUUUGUGAUUCAUGACUGGGGUGAAGUCGUAACAAGGUAACCGUAGGGGAACCUGCGGUUGGAUCACCUCCUUA